UUUAUACUUCAGUGACCUCCAUCCAUCCUUCUAACAGCAGAUGCUCUUCUGGCAGGAUACACUGAUUCUUUCAUCAUCUGAACAUUCGCAGCAAGGAUGGAAUUCAACUCAACUUUACCGCCAUCCUUCCAGACAUCCUUAAGAAACUGGCUGAAAGCAUCUUUCAGUAUGCUGCCGACACAACAAGCAUGCAGUUGCUGAGGUGCUGAUCCAGAAGCAUCCUUGACUUAAAGAACUGGGAUCAUAUAAUGGAUGCUACAGAUGGCAACAAAGACUGCAAUAUAAAAUAGGCAACUAUAGAUCUAAAUUGAGAGGGCUUGGAAACCCUGAGCUUGAUGUGAACUCUCUCAAAAAAGAGGCGAGCCCAUGAGAAAGCACCUGAAAAGAAUAUCAAAAAGCCAAGAAAGGCAGAGGUGAACUAUUUACUCCCUCUCCCACAAGGAGAAACAGAAGGAAGUUUGGAACAUGAAAGAGUGGAGCUCAUUAAUGAAGUAAAGAAGAGGAACAACUGUCAGAUCAUCAGUGAAAAAAUGGCAAAGACAUUCUCCAUUCGCAGGCAGGAAGUUGUCAAUCAAGCACCACCAGUCGAUGACUUAAAAGACCGAUGGCCUGCUUUCUUUGAUGCAGCUCAGCUAAACGACAAAUUCAGAGGGAUCACCACUGUUAACCUGGAGACAACAUUCAUGGAAAAACUGGACUAGUACUCCCUGAAAAUAAUGUCCUUGGUGUCCUCAAGAGGAGGGGCUGCAAAAAUGAAUAUUCAGUGCAUAGGGAACAUGCUGCUGGAGGAUGAGUCUGUGGAAAGGAGGGAGAGGGAGGUUGCUAUCCGUGGCUUAAUGGUGUAUCUCAGAGAAAAGGCGGAGGAUCUCUUUAAAGAGCAGUUGGAUGGUGGGGACAUUACCAAUGAAAUGAUGAAGACUGUUGUAACCAGAGGUACCGUAACAUCUGAUCAAGCCAGUGCAAGGAACAUUAUUGAGGAAACAGAAGAUCUGGAAGACCUGGAAAACCCAGACCCUGUGCCUUGCUAAUAGGGCUGAUAUACACACUUAACUUCAAAAGAACUGAAAAACACUUUUGAGGCGUUUCAAAAGAUAUUCCUUGAGCUGGAUGAAAGUCAGUCCAAAGUAAUGUCUCUAAAAAAUUAACUCUGUACUAAAAAAUGUGAAGAAUUAGGCUGUCCUAAAUUUCAACUGUUAUGUUUGUAAAGUGUUGUUAUGCAACAAACAGCAGCUGUAUUGUUGACAGUUGGCAUUUUAUUAGGUACACCUAGCUAAAACUAAUGUAGUUUAAUACAACAGCGCUGCAAUAAAUCCCACCAGCAUGAAUGUUACAGUGGUCAGUGUUUUUGAGACAGUUUUACAGGGGUGUUAGUUUAACUUUAUGGUCAUUUUGGAGGCUGUAGUUUGUGAUGUUGAACUGUAUUGUGUGUUAUAGAGGUGUUAUCAAUAUUUAGUCUUCUCUCACUGAAAUAAAGUGAGAGACUAAACAGAAGCACGUCAGUAUAAUGCAAUACAGUUUUACAACAAGCACAAAGCUGUUCAGUGUCAAAAUGACAAAUUUGAAUCAACACCUCUUUAAAGCUGUCUCAGCAAAAACUGAAUAUGAUUAACCCUCAUGAAGGUAGGACUGUUAAAAAACUGCAUUAUUUUUAUCUAGGUGGACUCAAUAAACUGGCAGUUGAAUGUAUGUUGAUCAAAUCUAUUUCUGAUGUUUUCUGUGUUCUUUUUUGGAAGUACUGAUAUGUAUCAGAUAUGUAUUUACAAAGUAACUUGGAAACCUUGCUUCUGUAUUCCUUGGGGAGAAUACAUAUAUCCAUUUGAUGUGUUUUUUCCAACACCGGCAACACUAAAUUUAUGUAUUCCUUUUCACAUAGUGUAAAGUGUUAUUUUUUCAUUGCAUUCUUUAACAUGCACAGAGAAAGAAGCACUGGAAUCAGUUCAGGGGUUUGGUCCUCCAAAAUCCACAUUAAUAAUUUGAAUAUGCUGUUGUUUUUGUUUUAUCUUGAUAUCUUGAAGGGCAACUUCCUGGUAAAAGCCUGCAAAUAUUUGACUUCAUGUGUUCAUUUGGAGCUCCCAAACACACUGUUAGAUUUAGUUAAAAUUCAUUUGCGAGUGGAUUUAUUUAUUUAUUUUUUUGUCCAAGUACUGUUGGAUGUGGGCAUGUUUAUUUUAUGCACAGAUGAUGAUU